rnacentral:rRNA from 1 species
GUUUGAUCGUGGCUCAGAUUGAACGCUGGCGGCAUGCCUAACACAUGCAAGUCGAACGGCAGCAUGACCUAGCUUGCUAGGUUGAUGGCGAGUGGCGGACGGGGGAGUAAAGCGUAGGAAUCUACCUAAUAGAGGGGGAUAACCCGAGGAAACUCGGACUAAUACCGCAUAAUGCCUACGGGUGAAAAGAUGGCUUUUCGGAGACAUCUGCUAUUAGAUGAGCCUACGUCGGAUUAGCUAGUUGGUAUGGUAAAGGCAUACCAAGGCAUCGAUCCGUAGCUGUUCUGAGAGGAAGAUCAGCCACACUGGGACUGAGACACGGCCCAGACUCCUACGGGAGGCAGCAGUGGGGAAUAUUGGACAAUGGGGGAAACCCUGAUCCAGCAAUGCCGCGUGUGUGAAGAAGGCCUGCGGGUUGUAAAGCACUUUCAGUUUAGAGGAAGGGUAGCGGUUAAUACCCAUUAUGUGUGACGUUAGCAACAGAAGAAGGACCGGCUAACUCCGUGCCAGCAGCCGCGGUAAUACAGAGGGUGCGAGCGUUAAUCGGAAUUACUGGGCGUAAAGCGCACGUAGGUGGAUAGAUAAGUCGGAUGUGAAAUUCCUGGGCUCAACCUGGGCAUGUCAUUCGAAACUGUAAAUCUAGAGUCUUGGAGAGGGGAGUGGAAUUUCUGGUGUAGCGGUGAAAUGCGUAGAUAUCGGAAGGAACAUCAGUGGCGAAGGCGUACACCUGGACUAAUACUGACACUGGGGCACGAAAGCGUGGGUAGCAAACAGGAUUAGAUACCCUGGUAGUCCACGCUGUAAACGAUGUCUACUAGCCGUUGGAAGACUUGAUCUUUUAGUGGCGCAGCAAACGCGAUAAGUUUUCCGCCUGGGGAGUACGGCCGCAAGGUUAAAACUCAAAGAAAUUGACGGGGGCCCGCACAAGCGGUGGAGCAUGUGGUUUAAUUCGAUGCAACGCGAAGAACCUUACCAGGUCUUGACAUCCAGAGAACUUACUAGAGAUAGUUUGGUGCCUUCGGGAACUCUGAGACAGGUGCUGCAUGGCUGUCGUCAGCUCGUGUCGUGAGAUGUUGGAUUAAGUCCCGUAACGAGCGCAACCCUUGUCCUUAGUUGCCAGGAAGUAAUGGUGUGAACUCUAAGGAGACUGCCGGUGACAAACCGGAGGAAGGUGGGGGCGACGUCAAGUCAUCAUGGCCCUUACGACCUGGGCUACACACGUGCUACAAUGGUCGGUACAGAGGGUUGCUAUACCGCGAGGUGGAGCUAAUCCCAGAAAACCGAUCGUAGUCCGGAUUGGAGUCUGCAACACGACUCCAUGAAGUCGGAAUCGCUAGUAAUCGCGAAUCAGAAUGUCGCGGUGAAUACGUUCCCGGGCCUUGUACACACCGCCCGUCACACCAUGGGAGUGGAUUGCACCAGAAGUAGGUAGCUUAACCUUCGGGAGAGCGCUUACCACGGUGUGGUUCA